UACGGAGGGUGCGAGCGUUGUCCGGAAUCACUGGGCGUAAAGGGCGCGUAGGCGGCCUGAUAAGUAGGGGGUGAAAUCCUGCGGCUUAACCGCAGGGCUGCCUUCUAAACUGUCAGGCUAGAGCACGGUAGAGGCAGAUGGAAUUCCCGGUGUAGCGGUGGAAUGCGUAGAGAUCGGGAAGAACAUCAGUGGCGAAGGCGGUCUGCUGGGCCGUUGCUGACGCUGAGGCGCGACAGCGGUGGGGGAGCAAACAGG
rnacentral:rRNA from 1 species